CCCAUGGGGAUCGCGAUCUCCCCAUGAGGCGACAUGCUGAAGUAUCGCGUCCUGCUCACAAUGGGGACGCCGCAUG
rnacentral:ncRNA from 1 species